rnacentral:rRNA from 1 species
UACAGAGACUGCAAGCGUUAUUCGGAUUCACUGGGCGUAAAGGGCGCGUAGGCGGCUUGGCAAGUGGAAGGUGAAAUCCCUCGGCUUAACCGUGGAAGUGCACCCGAAACUGUAGAGCUAGAGUCCCGGAGAGGAUGGUGGAAUACUUGGUGUAGAGGUGAAAUUCGUAGAUAUCAAGUGGAACACCGGUGGCGAAGGCGGCCAUCUGGACGGGUGACUGACGCUGAGACGCGAAAGCGUGGGUAGCAAACAGG